rnacentral:lncRNA from 1 species
UUUCUCUAGAAGAAUGAAGGAGGAAGCCCUUUUGAAGUGGUCAGCAUUAAUGAUGUCAACUAAGUGACUUCCAUGGGCCAUUAGGCAGCCAGCCAGCGACAUUUAUGUCCUUGCUCCCAGCACGAUGUGGAAUAUAGGGGAAGGAGGAGCCAUUCUCUCCUGCUGGUCCCACGUUCAUUAAUAUAUUGUUAACUGCAGCUCCCAUCGGAGACAGACUUCUUCGAAAGAUUAAUGUUCUUUUCAACACGGAGGGAAAAAAGAGGGCAAAAAGCAAACCACCCAGGCCUUCCAAGAAAGAAGCCAAAGAAAGAAAACUAUGUCACUGAUGGUAACGCUGCCUGCGGUAUUUUCAUCGCCGUCCACUCCAACGUUGUCAUUGUCAUGGUCACCACGGUAUCGCUAGUCUCUGUAGCUGUUGCAUUCACCGUGUUUCCACAUGUGGGUACAGACGUCUGGCUCCUUUACACUGGUGUCUCACUGUGGGGCCAUGUAAGGAAGAAGGAGCGCACUCGUGAGCACUUUUAUACUUUGGACUAUUCCUCUACAGCAUCAUUUAAAAUGCCUGCCUUGGAACAGGCCUUCAGCCCCUCUGGGCCUUCCUCUCAGUGUUGCCAUGAACCCAAAACUGCUCUAAAAAAAUAA